rnacentral:rRNA from 1 species
AACGAACGCUGGCGGCAUGCCUAACACAUGCAAGUCGAACGAGACCUUCGGGUCUAGUGGCGCACGGGUGCGUAACGCGUGGGAACCUGCCCUUAGGUUCGGAAUAACUCCCCGAAAGGGGUGCUAAUACCGGAUACUGUCUUCGGACCAAAGAUUUAUCGCCUUUGGAUGGGCCCGCGUUGGAUUAGCUAGUUGGUAGGGUAAAAGCCUACCACGGCGACGAUCCAUAGCUGGUCUGGGAGGAUGAUCAGCCACACUGGGACUGAGACGCGGCCCAGACUCCGGCGGGAGGGAGCAGUGGGGAAUAUUGGACAAUGGGCGAAAGCCUGAUCCAGCAAUGCCGCGUGAGUGAUGAAGGCCUUAGGGUUGUAAAGCUCUUUUACCCGGGAUGAUAAUGACAGUACCGGGAGAAGAAGCUCCGGCUAACUCCGUG